rnacentral:misc_RNA from 1 species
UAUUUAAAAAAAAAAAAAAAACCUCUUAUAAUAUUUAAAACUAAAGUUAUAAGUUCAAAUCCAUUUUCCACAUUAAUCUUUACCUUUCAAUUCAUCAAUUAAUGAUUUAGAAUUCAUCAAUUAAUGAUUUAGAUCAUAACUUAGUGAGUCCUGUCCUAACACCAAGCAUGUAUUUACGCAUAAGGAAAAGAAUCAAAUAAUAAAUACCCAUCUCAUUAGAUAAAAAUCAAAGCAAUUCCAUUGAUUAAAUCAGAGUAUUACAGCCCAAAUUUGAAAUCUAAAACAAAUUACUUACUUACGUUCAUAAUUACAAUGAAAUAUAUGGAGAAAAUAACAAUAAACAUGAAAAUAAACUAAGGAAUAGAAGAACACAUGUGAGAAAUUAGCUUUGAUGUUGAAAUAUAAUAUGAAAUCCACUUGGUGCAAAGAGUCGUCCUUUCUUCUUCUAAGAAUCCAAAAUCAUUCUAAAGUUUUUCUCUUUUUCUACUUAUAGAGAAAUAUGUAUUGCAAUAAAUGUAGCCCUAAUAAAUUAAAAAUUAGUACAAAAGGUCUAAAAGGAAAAUCCAAGUCGUGUUGUCUGAUGUCAAAAGGAGUUUUAAUUCAUACAACCUCACGUACUUGUAAGGUUCAGUCACACGAACCUGCCGCACAACUAGACUUAAAGCUUAGAGGAAGCACAAGGUGCAACACCAGGUUGUGUUAUUGCAAUUGAUGUCAUUACAUGAACCAUGUUGAUGCUGGUGUAACUCUCAUUUCUUUUAUGCCUUGAAGUUGAGAAUUACAUUGACUUGUGUCACUAGAAAUACGACUAGUGUUUUUGUUAAAUUGACAAUCACGUGACAAGGAACACGAGUCAUACUCACCCUUGUGUAACUCUCUGCUCCUCUAAAACUUAGUAAGUUUUCCCCUUUUCUUUCAUAGCUCCUUGAACUUCCAAAUUAACAAAUAGCUCUCUAUAAUUACUCCAAUGACCUUUAAUACUUGAAAUUAACCGAUAAAAGCAAGAAAAACAUAAAUAAAUAUAAAAUUAUAGAAAUAGAGAAAAUUAAACUAAAACAUAAGUGAAAGAACACAAAAUAGCUAUGUACAUAGGCAAAAUGAAUGUAAAACAUGUCCUAACUAUGUAUACCUAUGAAAUACGAAUGCAUCAAGGGUGUCACUAGACUUUUUUAGUGAAGGUCAGAAGUUAAUUUAUGCAUUUAGCCACUUUAUUAUUAAAAUUUAUCAUGGCAUCAAGAUAUCACAUCUGACUAGAGCACCUAAUGGCAGUGGAGGAUUAAAAAAAAAAAUUCUGAUGUCAAUAUAUAGGUAAAUUGUACAACAUUUAUUGCACUACAAAAUAAUGCACGAAUAUUCAUAUAAAAAUAGUUAAGUCAUAAAUUUAGAAAUAUGAGAUGCAUACCUUUAUGGGUGAAAUUGUACAUACACCUUGAAUGUCAUGACCCGAUUUCCAGGCCAAAUCAGCACUAAGACUUAGGUGAGCAGAAGGCCCCCGAAGCCUGUAGUAAAUCUAAGCGGAUAAAUUUCAACAACUGUCCCUAAACUUAUAUAGUUAUAAUACUACAGUCUUUUAACUUCAAAAUAUAACAUAAAACCCCCUAAACUUUC